rnacentral:rRNA from 1 species
AUUGAACGCUGGCGGAAUGCUUUACGCAUGCAAGUCGAACGGCAGCACGGGGCAACCUGGUGGCGAGUGGCGAACGGGUGAGUAAUACAUCGGAACGUGCCCAAUCGUGGGGGAUAACGUAGCGAAAGUUACGCUAAUACCGCAUACGAUCUACGGAUGAAAGCGGGGGAUCGCAAGACCUCGCGCGAAUGGAGCGGCCGAUGUCAGAUUAGGUAGUUGGUGGGGUAAAGGCUCACCAAGCCAACGAUCUGUAGCUGGUCUGAGAGGACGACCAGCCACACUGGGACUGAGACACGGCCCAGACUCCUACGGGAGGCAGCAGUGGGGAAUUUUGGACAAUGGGCGCAAGCCUGAUCCAGCCAUUCCGCGUGCAGGAUGAAGGCCUUCGGGUUGUAAACUGCUUUUGUACGGAACGAAACGGUUCUCUCUAAUACAGGGGGCUAAUGACGGUACCGUAAGAAUAAGCACCGGCUAACUACGUGCCAGCAGCCGCCGUAAGAC